rnacentral:misc_RNA from 1 species
GAGAAGAACGCAGCGAAAUGCGAUAAGUAAUGUGAAUUGCAGAAUUCAGUGAAUCAUCGAAUCUUUGAACGCACAUUGCGCCCGCCAGUAUUCUGGCGGGCAUGCCUGUCUGAGCGUCAUUUCAACCCUCAUGCCCCUAGGGCGUGGUGUUGGGGAUCGGCCAAAGCCCGCGAGGGACGGCCGGCCCCUAAAUCUAGUGGCGGACCCGUCGUGGCCUCCUCUGCGAAGUAGUGAUAUUCCGCAUCGGAGAGCGAUGAGCCCCUGCCGUUAAACCCCCAACUUUCCAAGGUUGACCUCAGAUCAGGUAGGAAUACCCGCUGAACUUAAGCAUAUCAAUAAGCGGAGGA